GUGUUACAAUUGGGGGACCGAUGUCUGAUUCUAGCAAGAGAGGGAAAAUAUGUUACUCCGGUGAACUACAUUGAGCAAGUAUUGCUAACCUGUAUUGCGAAAUGGUUGAAGUUUAGAUUUCUUGAUUGGAUGUAGUUGAUAGCUAAUUUGUAUUGUAAAAUGAUUGCGUAUGGUUUAUUUUAUCUUUGUUGGUGAACAGAAUUAAGUUUAGAUAUCUUGAUUGGAUGUGGCUGAACCUACUUUGGGCAUCUGCCAUACCAGAUGGUAUGGCUGGAGUCUCGUGUGUUUCCUAGGAAGUGUGUUGGAUGGAAACUAUGAUAGUGAUGGAAUCCAUUUCCUUUGUACACUUGUAGGAGAAGAAAAUUGUGUCUGUCACAACAGUAACAAACUCCAUUAUGAUGCGGGUCGAUUUGAUUUCCCCUGCACAAUUGUGUGCGGGACUUGCAGAUCUAUGACGUAAAAAAGAAAGAAAACAUGAUUGGUUAUGUUGGAUUAGAUAGCAUGUAGGCAAACAAAGAGAGUUAUUUGUUUGAAGUAGACAUGUUAAGUUGAUAAACCAUGGUUUCUGAUGUUGGUCGUUAAGGUUUUCUCUCUCUAACUUAGCUUAUACAAUCUUUUAGCUCUCUCUCCCCCUUGAACAUCCGAGGAAGAAAAUCACAUUUGCGUGCUUAAGUCAUGUAAUGUGUUGGUGAAAUCAUUUAAAUUUUGAGUUUCCCACUCGACGUUUGUCCAUGUCAAUAUUGCACCAAAGAGGAAAAAAUAUCGACCGCAAGGACUUCAAUAGAAUCCAGAGAGGGAAAUAAACAAAUAUACAAUGGAGUUAAUGAGUUGAAGGGACAAAGUUUUCUCUGUUGUCAGUGUUUCCAGGUGGAACGACAGUUUCCCCCUUUCUGUAGUCAUUUUGAUUUACUUCCAAUGCAAUAAGUUCUACUCUGGUUUCUAGAAAUUAGAAACGAAAAAUUAAGGUUAUGGUAACUGUAUGCAACGUAGAAGUAAGAUCAAUGCUGCAGGGAAUUGUCAGACCACAAAUUGGAUGGUUGAAUCCCAAAAGUUUCCUCAGCCCUUUCUACCAAGUUAUAUUGGGGGGGGGGGGGGGGGGGGUGGGGUGUUCAAGUAAGCAGCUGGACCCACAAAUCUGUAUCUGAAUUUCCCCAAAUAGACUGCAAUGUGACCUUUGAAGUAGAAGCACCCUGCAGUUUGGGAAUUGUUUGGUGUUACGAAGAAUUCAAUGCAAACAUAUUCCAUCUUCAAGCUUGCUUGAAUUGAAAGCAGAACGAGCGAAUCUUGGUGGUAGCAUGCUUGUUGUGGAUUUAAAGUAGAAAACUUCAAUACUUGGAUGAAAGUUUCUCUGUGAUUUGACUAGGAAGAGUUGUUAAUUUGUUUUGAACAUAUAUAGAGUGAUCAAGACAAGGUGAGAACGAAAGAAUAUCAAAAUAGGAGUCCGGGAGACCUUUAUUCGAGGACUCUUGUGGGCUUGCCAAAUUGGUUGGAACAUACUCCUUUACUUAUUUGGCCUGACUUCUGGUUGCAAAGAUCCACUUGUUUGAAUGGAAGAUAAUAGAGUAGAAAACAAGUGGUCAAGGAAAACGGAAAACCAAAUGCUGUGACCAAGAAAAUAGACAGACCAAAAAAGAAAACUCCUGAUGAGAAACUUUUGAUCACUUGUUCUGCAUCACUGAUCCAAUGCAAUAGCUAAGACAUUAGACCACCACGAAAGUACAUUUUGGUAUGUACAUAAGAUACGCAACUUUGUAUAGGCACUUCAAGUCCCUUUUAAUUGACUCUUUAAUUAGCAAUAUCAUCAUACAACUUUACUGGUUUGUAUCUAUUACUGCACCACCAAACAGGAAUUUGCGUAUUCUAUAUGAAUUGUCUUUAGUUAGCACUUGUACCUCUCUUAAUAUUAAGAGAAAAUGUCAACCAAAUUAUUUAUACUUGCUACAAAAAUGAUGGUAUAUAGUCAUUUUUAUAGGUUUAAGUCAGUCUAGCAAAUCUGGAAGAUAUUAGUAUUCAAGUAAAGGAUGUUGAAGACUUUGGAAGAUUGAUGCUUCAAGUUUGUUUUCCGGAAGAUAUUAGUAUUCAAGUAAAAGAUGAUGGAAGAGUUUACAAGAGUGAUCCUUCAAGUUGUUUUUGGUCAAGUGACUGACCAAGGAGCUUGAUAUUAUUUUUCCUAUGCCGAAAGCCUUGCUCACAGCCUGUUCGAAAAUCCAAAAGUCCCAAGAAGAUUAGUAUGCUCAUAUGGAUUUUUCUAUACAAGGGUCUAAAUACAGCAGAAUAACUUGAAAAGAAAAAGACUAAAAUAUUGAAAAUACCUCUAAACUUUUCAAUAUUUCACUAAUAUUCCUGAACUUUUUUUUAAAAUACGCUUACCGCUAGUUUUUUAUGAACACUGUUACUAUUUUGUUUAACAAAUGCCUCUGAACUUUCUAAAGUUUCACCGAUACUCUUAAACUAAAAAAAAAAAGGUUAAAAGUACCCUUACUAUCGGUAUAUGGAUGGUAAAGAGAAUUUUAUAUGUUGAGUUUGUGUUCAUCAACUCGAAACAUCUAACUCAUGUGUCAGAUGGCUAUUUGAGAAGUAGAGCUUGAUUGAUACCUUAAGCAAGGAAGAAAGUUCCUUAAACCUAAAUCUACAAGGGGAGAAUGGAAGGAGGAGGAGGUGUUUGGGUGUAGAUGAAUAUUUUUGUCUUUAUGCAUUUUUUGAACUUUUCUGAAAAGUUGGUAUUAAUGCCAUAUUUGAAAAUUCAAAGAUAUACUUGAAAUGCAGUAUUAACGGUUUCCAUCCAUCCAUCCAUCUAGAUUUGAAUGAAAUAAAAUAUUUUUAUUCCAAUUAUUCAAGUGUAAGAAAAUUAUGGUCAUCGUGAGAAAAUUAUGAGAAAACAAUGUAGGUCAGCUUUCAUGUGAACUCCCAUAGGCUUGUUUGGAGCA